rnacentral:rRNA from 1 species
UCAUUAAAUCAGUGAGAAUCAGUUGAAUAAGAGCGUGUUACACGCAUAACUGUGGCAAAUCUAGAGCUAAUACGUGCAACUUACCCGGUUCGCUUCGGCGAUAAAGGGCGCACUUUAUUAGACCAAAAUCAAUAGGGUGAAAGCCCUAUCUGAUGGUGACUCUUGAUAACUUGGCAGAUCGCAUGGCCUCUGAGCCGGCGAUAUGUUCAGAGACUAACUGCCUUAUCAACUAGAUGGUAGUUUCAAUGCCUACCAUGGUUGUAACGGGUAACGGGGAAUCAGGGUUCGAUUCCGGAGAGGGAGCCUGAGAAACAGCUACCACAUCUAAGGAAGGCAGCAGGCACGCAAAUUACCCACUCUUAGCACGAGGAGGUAGUGACGAAAAAUACCGGUGCAGAACUACAAUGAUAGUCUCUGUAAUCGGAAUGAGUACGAUCUAGAUACUCUAACGAGGAUCUAUUGGAGGGCAAGCCUGGUGCCAGCAGCCGCGGUAAUUCCAGCUCCAAUAGUAUAUACUUAAGUUGCUGCGGUUAAAAAGCUCGUAGUUGGAUCUCAGUUUACUUGUUGUUGUUUGGUGUGUGUAUCUCUUCGGAGAUCUCACAACUCUCAUCACUUGUAUUCUAUACAAAGGGUUAGCGAACGUGUGCAUCCUUCACCGGGUGCCUCUAGUAGCCUUCCCAAUGUUUACUUUGAACAAAUUAGAGUGCUCAAAGCAGGCAUACUUUCGAGUGUUGCCAAGGCAUAUACAUGCAUGGAAUAAUGAAAUAGGACUUCAGUGUUCUUUUUCGUUGGUUUUCGGACCUGAAGUAAUGAUUAAGAGGGACAGACGGGGGCAUAAGUAUUGAGGCGCGAGAGGUGAAAUUCGUAGACCGUCUCAAGACUACCAAAAGCGAAAGCAUUUGCCAAGAAUGUUUUCAUUAGUCAAGAACGAAAGUUAGAGGUUCGAAGGCGAUUAGAUACCGCCCUAGUUCUAACCAUAAACGAUGCUAACCAGCGAUCAGGAGUGUAGUGUCUACUUGAUGCUCUCCUGGAAACUUCCUGGGAAACCAAAGUGUUUGAGUUCCGGGGGAAGUAUGGUUGCAAAGCUGAAACUUAAAGGAAUUGACGGAAGGGCACCACCAGGAGUGGAGCUUGCGGCUUAAUUUGACUCAACACGGGGAAGCUCACCCGGUCAGGACACUGUAACGAUUGACAGAUUGAGAGCUCUUUCUUGAUAUAGUGGUUGGUGGUGCAUGGCCGAUCUUAGUUCGUGGAUUGAUUUGUUGGGUUAAUUCCGACAACGAACGAGACUCUGACUUAUUAACUAAGGUGCGAGGGUGCUUUCUAACCUUGCCUGUAACAGGGCAUAACUUGAGAGUUUCUCCGAGUACUCUAACUUCUUAGAAGUAUAUGUGUUCGAUGAAAAGACACACGAGAGAGAGCAAUAUCAGGUCUGUGAUGCCCUUAGAUGUCCGGGGCUGCACGCGAGCUACACUGAAGAGUGAAGCGAGCAGAGAGUGCAAACCUACUGUGAAAACAAGUGGGUAACCAUAGGAAUCCUCUUCGUACUGGGGACAAGGCAUUGUAACUAUGCCUUCGAACGAGGAAUUCCGAGUGAGCGUGGGUCAUCAACAAGUGUUGAUUCAGUCCCUGCGCUUUGUACACACCGCCCGUCGCUACUACCGAUCGAGGGGUUAAGUGAGGUUUUCGGACCAUUCAUGCACAAACUGACUUCGGUCAGAGCGAGCUACGAGUGAGAAGUUGACCAAACUUGAUCAUUU